rnacentral:rRNA from 1 species
UUUAACCUACGGGACGCGGCAGUGGGGGAUAUUGCACAAUGGGGGGAACCCUGAUGCAGCGACGCCGCGUGGGCGAUGGAGUGCUUCGGCAUGUAAAGCCCUAUCAGCAGGGAAGAAAAUGACGGUACCUGACUAAGAAGCCCCGGCUAAAUACGUGCCAGCAGCCGCGGUAAUACGUAUGGGGCAAGCGUUAUCCGGAUUUACUGGGUGUAAAGGGAGCGUAGGCGGCCUGGCAAGCCUGAUGUGAAAUACCGGGGCCCAACCCCGGGGCUGCCUUGGGAACUGCCAGGCUGGAGUGCCGGAGG